rnacentral:tRNA from 2 species
GGCCGCAUAGCCAAGUGGUAAGGCAGUUCUCUGCAAAAGAACUAUACGUCGGUUCGAUUCCGACUGCGGCCU